GGAUGUGAGGGUGAUCUGGCUAGGACAUGUCACCUCAUUGAUUGCCAGCUGGUUUGGCUGGCUAGUCAGGUGUACACUUCCUCUCGCACUGCUGCAUGUGCAUCCCUCCUGAAGCUGCAAACUUGGUCUAAAGAGGAUGACCACCCCCCAUAGAAGAGGACAGUUUCCUCAGUCAAAGGUAAGAGAGUAGCUGCACUCUCCUGCUCAAACAUCCAAAUAAGCUCUCAAGUUGAUUAGGCAGCAGUAGUAGGGAUGAGAAGGAUUAUAGAAACAUGUAGGAAGAAUAAUUACUU
ensembl:misc_RNA 7SK 7SK RNA